CUUUCGUCUUCCUCAUCUUCUCCUCCAUGGGGAAGAGCAGAUCGGGGUGGUUCACCUUACACACGUAGCCAUCCCCUCCGUCCCAUUCGCUGGCGCACACCGUGGCCACCCCGUCCACCGUGUAGAGGCCGUUGCUUUGCAGGACCCUCUUCCCCAACGCCGUCUCCAGUUUGCCCCCCUUCUCCUUCCACCACGACACCUCCAGGCCGUCGGCGUUCACCAUGUUGCUCACCCGGCACGUCAGCGUGGCCGAUUUGCUGAUGAAGAUGUCCACGAAGGACGGCGUGAUGACGCGGAUGGCGAUGUCCUGCUGCACGACGGGUUCUAAUCCGCACUCCAUCCUCUUGCUGGUGUUCCUCAUCUCCCCCUCCACGACGCAGCUGAAGGUGGCCCCGGUGUCCCAUUCGCUUUCGGUGACGCUGAUGCGGCUCUCGGCCACCACUUCGGGGCCGACGGUGGUGGCGGUGGUGGCGGCGGCGGCGGCGACGGGGCUGCCAUUUUUGUACCACGUGACCUCGGUGGGACGGCGGCGCCCGCGGGUCUGGCAGAGGAUGGAGGCGUUGCGGAAGGGGCCUUCGAAGUCCUCGCGGGAUGGGGG
rnacentral:lncRNA from 1 species